rnacentral:rRNA from 1 species
UGGGGAAUAUUGCGCAAUGGGCGAAAGCCUGACGCAGCGACGCCGCGUGUGGGAGGAAGCCUUUCGGGGUGUAAACCACUGUCAGAGGGGAAGAACUGCGCCGAGUCGAACAGGCUCGGCGAUUGACGGUACCCUCAGAGGAAGCGCCGGCUAACUCCGUGCCAGCAGCCGCGGUAAGACGGAGGGCGCAAGCGUUGUUCGGAAUUACUGGGCGUAAAGCGCGGGCAGGUGGUCCGUUGAGUCGUUUGUGAAAAUCCGGGGCUCAACCCCGUGAAAUGCAGACGAUACUGGCGGACUGGAGAUCGGUAGAGGCUAGCGGAAUUCCUGGUGUAGCGGUGGAAUGCGUAGAUAUCAGGAAGAACACCCGUGGCGAAGGCGGCUAGCUGGGCCGAGUCUGACACUCAUCCGCGAAAGCGUGGGGAGCAAACAGGAUUAGAUACCCCCGUAGUCC